rnacentral:other from 1 species
GUGUCUCUAGGGUGUGCGUAAGCAAACUGAAAAACCCUUGAGCCUUAACUACUAACCAGGGGAGUCGCGCUGGUUAUACUAUGUGCAAUACCGCCAUGAGCGGGAAGCCUGAGGUAUGAUCGCUGUCCCCACCUGAACCUCUGGUUCAAGGUUAGCAGUAGUUGCUACGGCACUUUUGGAGGCACC